GCAGAAAAAUUGUCGAGCAUGGGACUGAGCGGAACACUUUCAGACGACAUUCAGUAUAUAGAGGAAUUACAAGACUUUGGACUAGUCUUACAACAAGGGUUUGAGUGGCGGGCUUCAUGCAUCAAUUGGGAGGUUGAGUAAACUUGAAAACUUGCUUCUUACUGGCUGCAGCUUUUCUGGUGAAAUUCCACCGGAAAUAGGCUUACUAUCCAGGCUAGUCUAUCUCGUGGCUCCGGCUCUCAGUGGAUGCAGCGAGCACGAGGGCCAGUGGUAGUGGUGUUGUGGGAGCAGAGAUAGGUGCUGGGAGAGGUUGAGAUUGAGGGGAAAAUAGACUUUGGUACAUCUACGAUGAUGUGUUAACUUCACUGACGAAACAACGAAAAGGAAUUUAACGUACAACCACCGAUAGUAUAGGAGUUGUCAAUCAAAAAAUUGAAAGCCCGAGAGGAUAUUUCAGAGCGGCCUACAGUUAACGAUACAUUUUUAACGAAAGAUAAGUCUUUUUUUUUUGCAUUCAAAAGAAUAAAUCGAACCGUUAGCAUCAGAGAAUGCAGUCUAAUGCACCUAAAGUACAAUAUGGCGGAGUGUUGUAGCACUUAUCCAAUCCUAUGUAAACACUUAAAUGUAUUCGUGAUAAGAAUAUAUUAUGGAGCUUUUUCAAUGGUGAAGCCUAAAACACUAACACCUAAAUCAACAAUUCUACCCAUCAAAUAGUCUUAUAGGCUUAAAAGGAAAAGCCCCUUCUUUCUAAACUUCAAAUUAUAAGUGACCUUGUAUCCUUCUGAAAAUGUUUUCGUGAUGAUAACUUUCUUGGCAUACUUGAUGAGUAUGUAAUUUUGUGCUCGUUAUGUCUUGUAAAGAAAUGUUGUGAUUCUUGAAGUCUAAUGGACAUCUGUCAUCACCAAUAUCUGUCAUCACCAAUUUUUUUCU